AAUUUUGGACAAUGGGGGAAACCCUGAUCCAGCCAUCCCGCGUGUGUGAUGAAGGCCUUCGGGUUGUAAAGCACUUUUGACAGGGAAGAAAUGGUAGAGGCUAAUAACCUCUGCAGAUGACGGUACCUGUAGAAUAAGCACCGGCUAACUACGUGCCAGCCGCCGCGGUAAUACGUAGGGUGCAAGAGUUAAUCGGAAUUACUGGGCGUAAAGGGUGCGCAGGCGGUUUGGCAAGAAGGAUGUGAGAUCCCGGGGCUUAACCUCGGAACUGCAUUCUUAACUGCCAGGCUAGAGUAUGUCAGAGGGGGGUAGAAUUCCGCGUGUAGCAGUGAAAUGCGUAGAGAUGCGGAGGAAUACCGAUGGCGAAGGCAGCCCCCUGGGAUAAUACUGACGCUCAGGCACGAAAGCGUGGGGAGCAAACA
rnacentral:rRNA from 1 species